UUGUUGGAGAGUUUGAUCCUGGCUCAGGACGAACGCUGGCGGCGUGCUUAACACAUGCAAGUCGUACGCUGAAGCCCGCGCUUGCGUGGGUGGAUGAGUGGCGAACGGGUGAGUAACACGUGGGUAAUCUGCCUUGUACUCUGGGAUAAGCCUGGGAAACUGGGUCUAAUACCGGAUAGGACCAUUC
rfam:Prauserella sp. Am3 HQ32_scaffold_23.24, whole genome shotgun sequence.